rnacentral:lncRNA from 12 species
UAUGAAGCCUUUGCUCUCACUUCCCUCCCUUUCCCACCGACCCCCGCCCUGCCCCCCGCCCCGGAGCCCACAACCAUAGGAUUCCUUGAGCUCACAGUAUCACACUGUAAAUAUCACUCAGCGCUCAAGGCGCUUGACACACCGGGAUUGUUUCAUUCCCUGUAUUAAAUGUUGUUCUUUCAUGGAUACAAUGAGUGCUCUCUUUUAAAAAAACUUCAUUUUUUUGAGGAAGCCCAGGUGGCUCAGCGGUUGAGUGUCUGCCUUUGGCUCAGGGCUAUGACCCCGGGGUCGUGGGACGGAGUCCCCCAUCGGGGUCCCCGCAUGGAGCCUGCUGUUCCCUCUGCCUGUGUCUCUGCCUCUCUCUCUGUGUCUCUCAUGAAUAAACAAAGAAAAUCACCCACAGCACCCAUGGCACCCACUGCACCCAUGCUAACCACCUUCCGAGUCUGUUCUGUUCUCCUCUUCUUAUGACUGAUCCCUUAUAAGAGCCCCCGUGGAGGCUGCAGUGGUUUGGAGCAGUGGAAUUGAACACUUGUGUGGAUUCACCCUAGGGCAUUGAGUGUCCUGGGUUUGGGGGCUCUGGGUGCGGGUGCUAACAGAAAGGAAUCCUUGGGGACCACGGCGGGGUCUGGGGUCCUGCAGGCCAAUACUUAGGGGAGCUGGAUGGCGGCUUCAUCUUGGGGACAUGCCCCAGACCCUGAUGUGUGUGUCAGGGUUUCCCGGGAGGGAUAACAAGGGGGUGUUACCAUGGGGGCAUCACAGGGAAGGCGUAAUGGGGUGCAUCACAGUGGGGGUGUCAUAGUGGGAAGUCACUGAGGGGCUGUCGUGUGGAAGGUGUCACAGUGGAUCUGGCAUUCCCGGGUGUGGUGCGUCCCCCUAAGCAAGAACUGAGAUGCACUUGGGAUUCACUCCAGCGAGGCCAGAUUCUGAAGGAGUGGAGGACGGUUUUCCUGAGGCUCUCAGAUCAUUGUGCUUCCCAGUGGCCGCCCCAGUGGUGGGAGUGGCUGUGAUGCAGGCACCUGGGGGCUGCGGGGCUGGGGGCCGGGGGUCUGGGGGCUGUGGGGCCGAGGGCCUGGGGGGCUGCAGUCAGCCUCAGAGCCAUUGGGGGCCUCUGACCCUCAAGUGCGUCACAGUGAAGUUGGGGAAGAGUGACAGCAGCAGGGGACAAUGGUUUCUGUGGGCCCUACAUGGACGGCAUGUGUGGGUUAGGGCAGGAGGGACGCAUCUCAUUAAGGAGCCACAUCGCAGCACAAUCCCUGAACCGCUGUAAUCAGAUGUAAAAUCUGGUUUCCGUCUGAAGCAUGUGUGGUGGACACUGGCUGUCCUUGGAAAAGCCUAGAACACACCCUGCUCUCAUUUCUUCUCUGAUGUGAAGAGUCCACACCCCAAGCGUCCUGGGGGGUUUUCCUUGAAGGGUUAAGCUGGUCGCUGACUUUUGUGCGGGGGGGGGGGGGGUGGUCUCUGCAAGAUUUUUUUUGACAAGCUGCUGUUCCUCUGCAGUACAGUAAUAGCCUAAUUAAUUUUAAUAUUCGCCUGACUGUGCAUCUAAGCCAGUUGGAGGAUGUGUCACAGGAGGAGGUACAAACAGGAGACAUGCCAGCAGCAAGGUGAGGGAGGUGGCCUCAGGUGGGGGCAGGGCCUUGGGUGGGGGUUGGGGGGCCUUGGGUGGGGGUUGGGAGGCCUUGGGUGGGAGCCUCGGGUGGGGAUUGGGGAACCUCGGGUGGGGGCAGGGGGCCUCAGGUGGGGGACAGGAGCCCCAGGUGGGGGCAAGGGGCUCUGAGUUAACCCCCAGCACCAGAGAGCAGCCUCCAGACACGCUCUCAGCCCAUUGAAAUUCCAGGCAUCUCCUCACACAAUUCCCACCUAUGUAAUUGUCAACUGGACCUUAUCAUCAUUUAUUAUGCAAAAUUGAAUUUUUUUGAAGCGUGAAGAAUGAAGUAAUUUCGUAUGCAAACAGUUAAAACUCUCAUGUGUAUUCCGAUUACGUACAUGUUGAUAAAUUCACUUAUGAUGAGUGACAGUGUGAGAUUUUUGGGGUCGGGCGGUCAAUCCGUGGAAGACACUGAUGAAAAUGAUAAACUGAACGCCAGAAGUGUCCCCAACGCAUUGUGGAGGAAAUGUGUGAAAUGUCAGUGUCUAGCGAGUGUCUAUUAAUAACUAAAAAUGAUUGUGUGUAAUGAGCAGAGGUUUUUGUGGUGAUUGAAGUGUGAUCUCUUCUGCUCUUCCAGAUGCCGCUGCUUAGAAAUUCCUAUUGCUUCUUACUGACAAAUGCUAAUGACCCCUCCACCUUCUAACUGUUUUCCUUCGCCCCAGUCAAGCAGGGGCUGAUGCUGGAACCCACAAGUCCUCUUUUCCUGCUGCCUACCGUGUCCCUUGGCGCGAGGCAGAGGCACCUGCUCAGGGGCCUUGGGGGCUCCUGGCCCCAGGGCCGGUUUGGCCUCUGGGGAGUGCAGGGUUCCAGGUGGCUCUUAGGGUCUGACCCCGUCUCCAGGAUGCAGUGCCUGGUGACAUGGUGGAGGGGUUGCAUUCUGGACCCCCUGGGGAACCCCUCGGGUCCAAGAGCAGGAGUGGAGCUCACUGGGUUCAGCAUGGCUUGUCUGGAAUCAGAGCAGCCCAGGGUCCCACGGGGAUGAGGGGCGCUGAAUGUGAGUCCUGGACGAGAGCAGAGGUGGGGGGUCUGCAUAUCUGAGGCAGAGGAGAGCCUCUGUGAGCUGUUCUGGGCGUCUGGGAAGUAAAUGUGAUUGGUUCCAAUCAGGAGCGUCUCAUCCUCAAGGGGAGCAGACAUGCAAGCAAGUAAAGGCGACGAAAGGUGGGCUGAGCUGGGGAGGGAGGGGCCAGUCUGCAUGAAGUCCCUCCUGGGGGUGCUCAGAGGCUGCGCAGCAUUUGGGGUUGGCUGGCCUGGGGUGGGGAGCCCGCUUCAUUCUGAUUGUGCAAGUGCAUGGGGGCCUGGGAAGCGAUGUCCACGCUCUGGCCGUGGGCGUGGGGACUGUGGUCUCCCCUCCACAUUGAGGGGUACUUGGCCCUUCAACCAUCCUGUCUGAGGUGGAUGCCCAGGUCAAAGCCAUGAUGACAAAGGAAGGAAACUAUGUAGUAGUUCAUAAACACUGUGCUUGUCUAGUGCUCUGUGUUUAUAGAAUGAAAACCUGAAGCAAAAACCCCCAAACCCUGAACAAUUAAACACAAAAUAAAUUAAUGAAAACAAAGGAAAUAAUACUGGAA